rnacentral:misc_RNA from 1 species
UUGGAUGUGUUGAUGGAACACACGUUCGUAUUAAGUCGCCAGGAAGUGACAACCACCAUCUAUACCUCAACCGCAAGGGUUUUUACAGUGUUAAUGUAAUGGCGGCAUCCAGGGGCGAAUCAUGACUCAUUUGUUUGGAAUGUGAGUGUCGCAGAGCAGGAGCUAAAAUUUGAUUAUAACAAUGGGAAAACCAACACAUGGCUACUUGGUGAUUCUGGUUACCCCUUGCAGCCAUACUUGAUGACGCCAUUCAGAAGCGCAGCCGAUGGAAUUCAACGAAAUUACAACACAAAGCACUCGAAAGCUCGUAAUGUAAUUGAGAGAUGUUUCGGUGUUUUGAAAAACCGAUUUCGAUGUAUAAUUGGCUCGAGAGGACUACAUUAUUCACCGGAAAAAGUAACACAAAUUGUAAAUGUGUGCUGUGCUAUUCAUAACGUUUGUAUAUUUCUCCAACAUCAAAUUCCAUUGGAGAUCCCAGAUAUGGAGAAUCUUGUUAGUUACGAAGAAGAACUUGAAAACAGUAACAUUUCGAAUACAGCUGCCCUUAUUAGAAUGAGAAUAGCAGAGAGUUUGUUAUAAACGCAGUUUUAUUAUAAAGUAUGUGUGUCUAGAUUUCAGGUACACUAGCAAAAUUCAUUUAUGUCUCAAACCUAAUAAAAU